UACGUAGGGUGCGAGCGUUGUCCGGAAUUAUUGGGCGUAAAGAGCUCGUAGGCGGUCUGUCGCGUCGGUCGUGAAAACUUGGGGCUUAACCCUGAGCUUGCGGUCGAUACGGGCAUGACUGGAGUUCGGCAGGGGAGACUGGAAUUCCUGGUGUAGCGGUGGAAUGCGCAGAUAUCAGGAGGAACACCGGUGGCGAAGGCGGGUCUCUGGGCCGUAACUGACGCUGAGGAGCGAAAGCAUGGGGAGCGAACAGG
rnacentral:rRNA from 1 species